CAAGAGGACUAGACUAGAUCUACAUUGACUAGAGCCAGAAUGGGAUACUCCACGACUGUCUCACCGACUCAGUGCCAGUACACAUGCUCUAGAGGACUUCUGGACUCGCAGCUACAACUGUACAAGUGCACACAAGAAAAUCUACCCUGUUAUCCUCCACCCACUGAUUGAGGAUCCAAUUGCACAUUUCUCUUAACCAUGACAGGAGAAAGCAAACAGUGAAACAGAAUCAUGGGUGAUCUUUCUCACUUUCCCUCUUGUUUUCAUUGGUUUGUCCAUACCAUUCUAAUUAUCAUGAAAGGGCUCUGCGUAUAGAGAGAUUGCUUCACUGACUUCCUGGAUCACCGAAAACCAUCAGGGUUGAAAUUUCAUCCAAGUCUUUCGUGACGCCCAGCAAAUAUUCCCUCUCGGAUUAUUUUACACCUAGAGGGCAUUUUGGUCUUCAGUUCAACACUCUUGCUCUGUUCCCAAAUGGGGCGCUAUUUAGGGGAAUUUAAAGAGAAAGCUGAGAAGAAUAAACAUUUACCGAGUUCUCUUGGCAUUCAGUCUCUGAAAAACCACAGUAUAAACUAUUCAUGCUGCUUCUUACAUCUGUCAAAUCGAAAAUUAAAAGCCAUAAAAGUGUAACACUGAAAAUAUGGCAUUAAAAAGGAUAAAGGUGGCCUUUGUAAAAAUAACAAGAAAAGUAUAUUAGCCAAUAAAAUAUUCUAACUCUUCAUUUAAAAGUGCAUCCUGGGCAGGACAGAGAUGAAUCUGAAGCGUUGGGACUCCAGUAUGAUCCCUCUCCGCCGUCAAAACGUGGACAGUAUAGGUCCAAAACCGUACAAUGCAAAUCACAAUUCUUAGUGUAGCAGCAAAACCACAGCAGUUUUUAAAAAGAUUAAAAAAAGAUUUUUGUUUUCAAAUCCAUAUCAUCUUCCAGCCUCACCCUCUGAGCCUGGAAGAUGGAGCGGGGAGAAUACCUACAUUGGUCCUUGUGGCUUGUUGGUGUUUUGUUUUUUUAAAACCAGGGGCGAAAUCCCUAAGUUCCUCUGGGAGAAGCAGAGAUGGUGGCAGCAGGAAGGCUGGGCCCGCUUGGUGGGUCCAAGACGUGCUGGCUUCUCUGGGCUAGAGGCCACGGAGGGAGGGCUGCUUCCUCUGAGAUGCUUAAUGACAGGAAGCGGCUUUAUUUGCUUGAGUUUUAGCCAGAGGGGGUGGUGAGCUGACCAGCUGGUGUCAUUGGAUGGUGUGACAUGGUUUGCUCUGCGCCCUCUCUCCAUGCAAGGUACCCUGUGAGUGAGCGUUCCUGGAAAAAGAGGAGAAGGGGCCUGUCAGCACCUACUGGACCAAACCAGCCCCCCCACCUCCCACACUGGGGAGAACCCAGGCAUGAGUCAGACCAGCACACUCUCCAGCCAUCAGGUCAGACCUAAGAUGAGUCCCUAAAAUUAAGGCAGCACAGCGUGAUUUCGACAUGACUUUCAUUCACGGUUCUGCUCAGGAUGCAACCCUGCCAGCUCUGCGUGAGGAAAUGAAACUCGAGUCGCUUUUUGGAAUACCACAAUGAGCAUGGUGCACCACGCCCUCACUCAAAGACCACAACAGCAUCCUUUGCGACCUGGCAACUUUCACUCUCCACGUUACUGCACGCUUAACUGGCAGAAGGUCUUCUGAGUUGCCCAAGGUCACCCCAAAGCCAGACAAGCCUGGAGCUCCAGACCUCACCCCUGUACUCCAUGCCCUGGUGUUUACUGCUAAGGAGGAAAGCCAAGAGAUUCACAUUUUAGGACAUGAAAAUUUACUGUGGACACAUAGACCUCUCUUCCUAUGGUUUCCUAUGGAGGCAACUAAGCUGGCAGAAAUGCCCCUCUCUGUGGGUCUUGCUGACAAAGGUGAGCCAUUCACAUCUCUUCAUAUCCUAACCAAACAGUAGCACAGGACUGGAAGACAAUAAACCAACCAGGCCUUGGAAUCCCAGGGCAGAUGUUCUAAACAGGAUUGUUCACCUGGGGAAUGCCCACCCCAACUCCACCACCACCGUUAGGCUCUGCUUCUCCACCCCUACGGGCUUAUUCCAUUUGCUGCUAGUCCCUUGGUUUGAAACAUAACCUCCUAAGGACACUCAGUCACUCCCAGUAAGGAGCCACUUAGAAGUUUGCCAACCAACGGGGAAGUCCCUGAGGUCUGGGGCUGUGUCCGUUUUGCUCACGUCUCUAUGCCCAGCUCCUAGUUCAGCUCGACACACGUUUGUCAAAUGAAUGAGGGUCAAGCGGCUCUGGUCCUCCAUGCCCCAAAAUAGUACCUUUUUUUUCCUGCCAAUAACUGGGGAUGUCAGGAAUGUGAAUGGGUAAAAUUUGGCUAACGUGAGGUGGUGACAGAGGACUCAUAAACAUCUUUACAACUGUUGAGAUUAUUCCUAGAACAAUGAACAAAUAACUUCAGGGAGGUGAUAGAAUUUAGAACUUGAAGGGACCCCAGAGAUAAUAUACUACAAUUUCUUCAUUUUAUAGAUGAAGAAAUGGAGGCCACAAAGAGACUUGGAAACUUGCUCAGAGUGUCUGUAGCAUGAAUUUAGCACAAGUGUGAGGAGGUCAAAAUGCCCGAGGGGAGGACGAAGUCCAAGCUUGUGCUUUGAACCCGGCUAUCCAAAUCCUGGUGUUAAUGGUAACAAUCACGAUCAGCCAAAAACAAGAAUGAGGGACAAUGGCGAGAGGGACACAGAAACAAAAACACCAAGAGCCACCAAAUGUGAAGUCACAAAGGACCAGGAAGCAGCCUCAGAAAUGACAAAUGGAUCCAAAGACACCAGCGUAGCAUCUACUGUAGAUGAUUCUUUUUCGUGUAGGGAGCACAGCCUGAAACUUGCUGUGGAGGAAGGGAACCCGUCCCCACCUCUGGGCUUGAGACCAAGAG
ensembl:lncRNA